rnacentral:tRNA from 1 species
UGAAGUGUAGUUUAUAAUAAAACAUCUAGUUUACGACUAGAAAAUCUACUAUAUUGAAGCACUUCUA